ACUGACUAAAAACAACCUGAACUCAGGGGUCAACAUAACAUACUGACUGUAAAAGAGACAAUAAUAGGGACUGUAACAAGUGUGCUUGCUGGGUAUGUGGCUAUAUUAUGAGGUCAGUCUGGACACCAACACCCAGUGGGUUUUGUUAACCAGAGGGUAUGAAACCAUAGUGGUAAACACUACUUCUGUUAUGAGAAACAGGAAGUUGUGUCGGGCCAGAGAUCUUUCUGUGGAUCCAUGAAUGUCGCUGGUGGCAGACUGAGACACCACAAAGAUAGAGCAGAUCAAGGAAAACCGGGAGGCCCACCUGGCAGCCAUGAUGGAACGCCUGCAGGAGAAGGAGAGACAUGCAGCCGUGGUGCGCAGGACACAAGAGCUGAGGGACGAGCUGACAGCGUGAGCCCCCACCCUCCCCAACGUCCACCAACCACGUCCCUCCACCCAGCCGCACCCCUGGAAACCCACAGCAGACACCAAGACCUGGAGGGUGGAGGACUUCACUACCAACACACUGCACCACCCACCCGACCCCCCCACACACACACACACACACACACACACACACACACACACACACACACACACACACACACACACACACACACACACACACACACACACACACACACACACUCACACUCACACACACAAUCAGUAUUAACAGUAUUUUUAAUUGGAUAAGUACCAUCUCAUUAUUUUCUGUGCUCAAGUCAAGGAAACAUGUAAACUGACAAAUAAAAGAACCAAUGACCUAAA